UACGUAGGUGGCAAGCGUUGUCCGGAUUUAUUGGGUUUAAAGGGUGCGUAGGCGGCUUUGUAAGUCAGUGGUGAAAUACUCCAGCUUAACUGGAGGGGUGCCAUUGAUACUGCGGAGCUUGAGUACAGAUGAGGUAGGCGGAAUUGACGGUGUAGCGGUGAAAUGCAUAGAUAUCGUCAAGAACACCGAUAGCGAAGGCAGCUUACUGGGCUGUAACUGACGCUGAUGCACGAAAGUGUGGGGGAUCAAACAGG
rnacentral:rRNA from 1 species